UCACUUAUUCUCUUCUCUUAAGAAUAUACACUCUCUACUUCUCCGCCUCUGCAACUCUUCAUUAUUCCCUCCUCUUUUUUUCUUAGCUUUUUUUGUUGUUGUCGUCCUUGUCCUCCGUUGUUCUUCACCGCCUUUCCUGUCUCCGUUUUUCGAACCCUGGUUAUUUUCUAAUGGCUUCCUCAACUCCAUCCAUGACUGAAAAAAGGACUGAGAAUAAGACCUAUAAGUACACCAAUUUUAUUGAUGCCCAAUUUAUUGAUCAACUGAUGGAUGAAUACAACCUCCAUGAAUAUGAUUUGGAACUGUUGGCUGGUCAGAAGGGUCAACUGAGAAGAGAGUUGGUUGAUGGUUUUGUUAAUUCUCCUAAGGCGACCAUCAUCACCAAAGGACAACUUGAGCUUGGGUUAUGAUUCCCUUUGUAUGAUCCGAUCUGUCUUUUUUCCUAUGAGGUUCUGUCCCAGCUCCAUCCUUCUCAUGCCUUGGCUCAGUGGAAUGGGAACACCUUUCGUCUUAUGGCUGAAUGGGAGAGGCGAGGAAAGGGCGAGUGUUCCCCGACUUUUUGGUCGACCUAUGAUCCUUCUGACGCGAGAAAAUAUACUUCGGAUAUCCUUGUUGGGAAUUAUCGGAGCGGGACUUCUUCUUUCAUCUCUUUGGUUGGUUUCGCUGCCAGUCUGCAUCGCCUCAAGGUUCCUACCGGCGGGUUCGAUAAAUUAAUGCUAGAUGAAGAUCCCGAGGGUAGCACCAAUACUAAUAAGCAUGCCCAACAUACCAAUGAUUCUGUCUGGGAUCGGGUUCCACUUGUUAUCCGUGGUCCUAUUUUGAGUGGAAAGUUUCCUCCUCCUGAAUUUCCUCCCUAGCCCUAUCCUCUUUGGGUGGUUAAUGCUGAUCAGAGUAAUCAGCCUAAGGCUCAAGGUAAUCAAUCGAAGGCUCCAAACACUCGAAAGAGAGGCUCUAGCACCAGGACUGAGGAGGAGCCAGUGAAGAAGUCGAAGACUGGUGAGGAAGGUGUGGAGAUCUCGUCUGGGAAAUAUAGUGACGAUCUUGAGGAUCGCUUGCCUUUAUCCCAAUUUUUACCUAAAAAGUUGGUGAAUAAGAAGAAUUAUGACGUCUCGUCUACCGUUGUAGGUGAUCAAUCUGGUGGUAAAGGAGUUGUAGGGGAGAAGACCACUCCGAAUAAGAAGAAUGUGCCCCCGUCCUCUAAAGCCUCCCUUACUGGCAAAGGAGUUGUUCUUUCUGGUACCAAUGUAGGUGUGGUGAUGUCUGAUGAUGAUGACGACGAUGAGUUCUUUGGUUCUGAGGAUGAAAACGAUUUGUCGGGUGGAGGUGAGGAAUUGAAGGAACCCGAGAUUAUCGUCCCCGAGGAUAAUACCUCCACUCGAAACGAGCUGGUGAACAAGAAUCCUCUCCAGGAGGGAACAAUCGGGAGUUAUGUCUUUACUUUCUCGGGUCCCGUGUGUGAUUCUUUGGGUGCUCUUACGUCUCCUAGUUUCAGUUCUCUUUCUGCUGCCGAGAUGCUGAAGGUCGUGCACUUUAUGGUUCCUCUAUGAGAGAUUCCCUUAAUGAUAUGGUCGCGAACCAGAGGCUUCUUGAAGCUGUUAUUCGUGAGAAGGAGUUGGCAGAUAUGGUUGAUCUUCGGGUUCAACUCCAAGGGGAGAAGGAACGCGUCCGAGGGCUCGAGUGGUAGCUAGCCGAUGCCCAAGCCGAGCAAGGAAAGGUCAAAUCCCUGGAGGAAGAGGUCAUUCAGCUGAAGAGCAGUGAGGUGCAACUAAAUGAAGAGAUCACCACCACCGAUGCUGCUGCUGCGGAGUUAACUCGUCAACUUGCUGAAGCGAAGCAGAAGUAUGAAGCUGAGCUCGCCGCAAAGAUCAAGGAAGGGGUGAAGGAGUUCAUCGAGAAAAAAAGGGCUCAAGUUGCGGCCAAGAAGUCUGGCUCGGGAUCGAUUCCUCCGAAUGAAUAACUUAUGCCUUUUGUAGUGUUGCACCGCUAUUUUGUCCCCUAUAUCGGGCUGUAAUUCUCUCCCGCUUGAACACCUAUAGUUUUUAGAUAACUUUUUUCAUGGGGUGCUGCUUACCAACCAGUUUUUUUAUUUCAAUGUUUA